rnacentral:rRNA from 1 species
CAGCAGCCGCGGGAAUACGAAGGGUGCAAGCGUUACUCGGAAUUACUGGGCGUAAAGCGUGCGUAGGUGGUGGUUUAAGUCCGUUGUGAAAGCCCUGGGCUCAACCUGGGAAUUGCAGUGGAUACUGGGUCACUAGAGUGUGGUAGAGGAUAGUGGAAUUUCCGGUGUAGCAGUGAAAUGCGUAGAGAUCGGAAGGAACAUCUGUGGCGAAGGCGACUAUCUGGGCCAACACUGACACUGAGGCACGAAAGCGUGGGGAGCAAACAGGAUUAGAUACCCCGUAGUCCCUGUCUCUUAUACC